rnacentral:rRNA from 1 species
CCCUUAGAUGUUCUGGGCCGCACGCGUGCUGCACUGAGUGGAUCAGCGGGUCAGGUUGCGCGAAAGUGUUUCCUAAUCUUUAAAUCCGCUCGUGAUGGGGAUUGACGGUUGCAAUUUUCCGUCAUGAACGAGGAAUACCUUGUAAGCGCGGGUCAUCAUCCCGCGCUGAAUACGUCCCUGCCCUUUGUACACACCGCCCGUCGCUCCUACCGAUUGAGUGGUCCGGUGAGGCUUUGGGAUCUGAGCGGAAAGAGCGUUUCGCUGUUUCUGCUCGGAAAACUCAGUCGAACCUUAUCAUUUAGAGGAAGGAGAAGUCGUAACA